rnacentral:rRNA from 1 species
AUUGAACGCUGGCGGCAGGCCUAACACAUGCAAGUCGAACGGUAACAGGAAACAGCUUGCUGUUUCGCUGACGAGUGGCGGACGGGUGAGUAAUGUCUGGGAAACUGCCUGAUGGAGGGGGAUAACUACUGGAAACGGUAGCUAAUACCGCAUAACGUCGCAAGACCAAAGAGGGGGACCUUCGGGCCUCUUGCCAUCGGAUGUGCCCAGAUGGGAUUAGCUAGUAGGUGGGGUAACGGCUCACCUAGGCGACGAUCCCUAGCUGGGCUGGGAGGAUGACCAGCCACACUGGAACUGAUACACGGUCCAGACUCCUACGGGAGGCAGCAGUGGGGAAUAUUGCACAAUGGGCGCAAGCCUGAUGCAGCCAUGCCGCGUGUAUGAAGAAGGCCUUCGGGUUGUAAAGUACUUUCAGCGGGGAGGAAGGUGCUGAGGUUAAUAACCUCAGCAAUUGACGUUACCCGCAGAAGAAGCACCGGCUAACUCCGUGCCAGCAGCCGCAGUAACAC